CAAAUACUAGCCCAACCCCCACAAAAUACAAGUAAUAAUACUGAAUAAAACAAAACAUUUAUACAAACAAAAGUAUAGGAGAUAGAAAUUAAAAGUAGGCGCUAUAGAGAAAGUACCGCAAGGGAAAGAUGAAAGACAUAUUAAAAGUAAAAAACAGCAAAGCUUAACCCUUGUACCUUUUGCAUAAUGAUUUAACCAGAACAAUUUGACAAAGAGAACUUCAGCCAAAUACCCCGAAACCAGACGAGCUACCUAAGAGCAGCAAAAAGAGCAAACUCAUCUAUGUGGCAAAAUAGUGAGAAGACUCCUAGGUAGUGGUGAAAAGCCUACCGAGCCUGGUGAUAGCUGGUUGUCCAGAACAGAAUUUUAGUUCAAUUUUAAGCCAUGCCCAAAAGACCCAUAAAUCAAAUGCAGACUUAAAUUAUAAUCUAAAAGGGUACAGCCUUUUAGAAGCAGGAUACAACCUUAACUAGAGAGUAAGUACAAAAAUCCCCAUAGUUGGCUUAAAAGCAGCCACCAAUUGAGAAAGCGUUCAAGCUCAACGACUCCACAACUCUAAUACAAAUAAUCAAUUACGAACUCCUAACCUAAUUACUGGACCAUUCUAUUAAAAAAUAGAAGAGAUACUGUUAAUAUGAGUAACAAGAACUAGUUUCUCCGCGCACAAGUUUAUAUCAGAACGGAUACCCCACUGAUAGUUAACAGCAAGAUAAAUCCAACACUACAACUAGAACAUUUAUCAAAAUAACUGUUAGCCCAACACAGGAGUGCACCCAAGGAAAGAUUAAAAGAAGUAAAAGGAACUCGGCAAACACAAACCCCGCCUGUUUACCAAAAACAUCACCUCCAGCAUAACAACUAUUGGAGGCACUGCCUGCCCAGUGACAUCUGUUAAACGGCCGCGGUAUCCUGACCGUGCAAAGGUAGCAUAAUCAUUUGUUCUCUAAAUAAGGACUUGUAUGAAUGGCCACACGAGGGUUUUACUGUCUCUUACUUCCAAUCUGUGAAAUUGACCUUCCCGUGAAGAGGCGGGAAUUAACCAAUAAGACGAGAAGACCCUAUGGAGCUUUAAUUAACUAGCCUAUAAAUAAAAUAAUAAGCUUCCAAGGAAGACAAAAUACCUUUUAGUAGGCUAACAAUUUAGGUUGGGGUGACCUCGGAAUAUAAAGAAACUUCCGAGUGAUUAAAGUAUAGACUAACUAGUCAACACAUACUAUCAAUUAUUGAUCCAAGAAAUUGAUCAACGGAACAAGUUACCCUAGGGAUAACAGCGCAAUCCCACUUGAGAGUCCAUAUCGAUAGUGGGGUUUACGACCUCGAUGUUGGAUCAGGACAUCCCAAUGGUGCAGCCGCUAUUAAUGGUUCGUUUG
rnacentral:rRNA from 1 species